AUAGGAAAAGUAAAGGCAUCUUUGCUUUUUUAAAAGAUCUUCUUUGAAGGUAUGCUUAAGGAGGGGCUUGCGACACAUUAGUUAGUUGGCAGGGUAAAGGCCUACCAAGACUAUGAUGUGUAGCUGGACUGAGAGGUUGAACAGCCACAUUGGGACUGAGACACGGCCCAAACUCCUACGGGAGGCAGCAGUAGGGAAUUUUCGGCAAUGGAGGAAACUCUGACCGAGCAACGCCGCGUGAACGAUGAAGUACCUCGGUAUGUAAAGUUCUUUUAUUAAGGAAGAAAAAAGAGUGGAAAAACUCCCUUGACGGUACUUAAUGAAUAAGCCCCGGCUAAUUAUGUGCCAGCAGCCGCGGUAAUACAUAAGGGGCGAGCGUUAUCCGGAAUUAUUGGGCGUAAAGGGUGCGUAGGCGGUUUAAUAAGUCUAUAGUUUAAUUUCAGUGCUUAACGCUGUUGUGCUAUAGAAACUGUUUUACUAGAGUGAGAUAGAGGCAAGCGGAAUUCCAUGUGUAGCGGUAAAAUGCGUAAAUAUAUGGAGGAACACCAGAGGCGUAGGCGGCUUGCUGGGUCUUUACUGACGCUGAGGCACGAAAGCGUGGGGAGCAAACAGGAUUAGAUACCCUGGUAGUCCACGCCGUAAACGAUGAGUACUAAGUGUCGGGUAAAACUGGUACUGAAGUUAACACAUUAAGUACUCCGCCUGAGUAGUACGUACGCAAGUAUGAAACUUAAAGGAAUUGACGGGACUCCGCACAAGCGGUGGAUCAUGUUGUUUAAUUCGAAGAUACACGAAAAACCUUACCAGGUCUUGACAUUUUCUUGCGAAAUUAUAGAAAUAUAAUGGAGGUUAUCAGGAAAACAGGUGGUGCAUGGUUGUCGUCAGCUCGUGUCGUGAGAUGUUAGGUUAAGUCCUAAAACGAGCGCAACCCUUGUCGUUAAUUGCCAGCAUGUAAUGAUGGGGACUUUAACGAGACUGCCAAUGAAAAAUUGGAGGAAGGUGGGGAUUACGUCAAAUCAUCAUGCCCCUUAUGAUCUGGGCUACAAACGUGAUACAAUGGUUGAUACAAAGAGUAGCUGAAACGCGAGUUCUUAGCCAAUCUCAAAAAAUCAAUCUCAGUUCGGAUUGAAGUCUGCAACUCGACUUCAUGAAGUUGGAAUCGCUAGUAAUCGCGAAUCAGCAUGUCGCGGUGAAUACGUUCU
rnacentral:rRNA from 1 species